CGGGCUCAACCUGGGAACUGCGUUUGAAACGGCAAGGCUAGAGUACGGGAGAGGGAGGUAGAAUUCCACGUGUAGCAGUGAAAUGCGUAGAGAUGUGGAGGAACACCGAUGGCGAAGGCAGCCCCCUGGGCCGAUACUGACGCUCAUGCACGAAAGCGUGGGGAGCAAACAGG
rnacentral:rRNA from 1 species